AAGUCGUAACAAGGUUUCCGUAGGUGAACCUGCGGAAGGAUCAUUACAACUCAGUAGCUUGCUACUGUCGGGAGGCGCUGUAAGUCCGCAUAGUUUCAUUACUGAUGAGCGGCAGGCCCUCUGUCUGUACCCUUGUCUUUUGCGCACUCAUGUUUCCUCGCGGGCUUGCCCGCCGACUGGACAAAACUAUAACCUUUUUAAUUUUCAAUCAGCGUCUGAACAAACAUAAUAAUUACAACUUUCAACAACGGAUCUCUUGGUUCUG
rnacentral:misc_RNA from 1 species